UUAAGAACAACCAAUUCUAACGGAUUGCAAAUCCGUGUACACCGGUUCGAUUCCGGUACUCGCCUCCA
rnacentral:tRNA from 1 species